rnacentral:misc_RNA from 1 species
GCUUAUUGUAUUUUCGAUCCUAUGAUGGUGACUUCUCUGUUGUCAUUCUUGUAAAGGAACCUGCUCUUGAUAUCUCUCUGUUGACUAAAGCUUUACAUUUCCCUCCAGAGGACAUGGAUUGACACUGGAGGACUUUGGAGUGCAAUGGUAGGCUGACAACAGCAUGUCUGAAGCCGCCAAUGCCAGCCACCUGCACCAGCUGAGUGUCACAGCUGUCAGUGGGGAGUUGUCGGCUUUAAGUAGUCUCUUUAACAAGCCGUCAGCGUAUGUGGAACUCCUGGUGGAUGGUGUGCACCAGAAAAAGACCCAGCAUGUCAAACACAAUACACAUCCAAAAUGGCAUGAAACGUUCACAGUCUUGGUGACGAAAGACUCUGUACUGGUCUUCCGUGUGAGUGACCACCACACCUUAGUGAGAGAUUCUGUCAUAGGAGAAGCUACACUAAAGCUUGCAGAUGUGGUUGCCGCCUAUGAUGGGAAGAAGAGCUCCACUCACACACUGCCGCUGACUCAGCCGCCUAAUUGCGUUGUGCCAGCUACUUCGCAGCCUCCCACCAUCACAGUCACCCUAGAUGGCUUGAAUAUUUUAACCCAGGGAGGUGCUAGACAAAGGGAAGUCAACUAUAACCUUCCAACUGUUGUGAAUGUGAGUGGUGGAAAUGUCAGUGGAAGUAAUACAGUCACGGUUCGAGUUGGUGGCAAAACUCCACCACCUGUACCCCCUCCACCCAAGCUGAUCCAAUCUGAUGCCCAUUCAGGAGCAGCCUUGCCUGCCAUCAUGUCAGCAAGCGGCAGCCAGUCCAACUCUGGCACAACUAUCACCCAUACCUCACACACAUCUGCAACACACAGCCCCAUUCCGUCUCUUCCUUCCAUUAAUAGUGAUGGCCAGGCUGCCUCGUCCCACCCAAGCACCCGGGCUAGGAAGAGUGUGGGCAAUGGGUCUGCCGUUGUGGUAUUAGGUGGAGAGAGUCCCACUGACAGUUCAGGGAACCAGAAUGGGAGACCUAAUGGUGCAGAAUCCACAGCUCCCCCUGUGUCAGGGAACGUGUCUCCCCAGGCCAAUCAUCAGCCUAAUCCACCACAAGUUGCCACCAAUGCCACCAAUGGGAAACUUCCAACCAAUGGCACACCCCAGCACUCUGCUUCCUCUGCUGCUGCUCCAAAACCUCCUGGGCUUGCCCCAAGACCGGCAAAUCGUCAUCACAGAGCUCACAAAAACAAACGGAACUCAGAUGGUAGCAAUACUCCAGGGAGUGGAAACAGUAAUGGUAGCAGCAGUGGAGCUCCAGCCUCAGGAGGAAGCAUGAGCAGCAGCAGUAGUGGUAGCAACUCUGCUCAGCCUGCAGCAGUAGGGGUCCAGGAGGAACCCCUUCCCCAUGGAUGGGAGAUGCGUCAUGACCAGUAUGGGCGUCGCUACUACGUAGAUCACACAACCCGCUCCACUACAUGGGAGAGACCAAAGCCCUUACCUGCAGGCUGGGAGGCACGUCGCGAUCCAAGGGGAAGAGUUUAUUAUGUUGAUCAUAACACCAGAACGACUACAUGGCAGCGGCCAACAGUAGAACAUAUUAGGCAAUUUGAAGAAUGGCAAGGAGAGCGACAACACAUUGCUCAGCUCAGUGCACAGAGGUUCCUGUAUCCCAACACCAACCAAGAGACCGAGAAUGAUCCUUUGGGCCCACUGCCACCUGACCAGGGCUGGGAGAAGCGGCAGGAGCCCAAUGGUAGAAUUUACUUCGUUAACCACCGCAACAGAACAACUCAGUGGGAUGAUCCAAGGACACAAGGAAUGGGACUUGAGGAGGAGGCCCUUCCAGCUGGCUGGGAGAUGCGACUCACAGAUGAUGGUCGCCAGUACUUUGUGGACCACAACACCCGCCAGACAACUUUCCAGGAUCCUCGUCCAGGAGCCAAGCAAAUUGCCAACAGAGGACAGUAUGGGAUCCCUGUUGUCUAUGAAAGAUCCUUCAGGUGGAAAUUGGGACAAUUCCGAUACCUUUGUCAAAGUAAUACUGUUGCUGGCCACAUCAAGAUUAGUGUUACCCGGCAGACACUCUUUGAAGAUUCUUUCCAUCAAGUGAUGAGACUUCCAGCCUUUGAAUUACGUAGACGCCUCUUCAUCAUCUUUAGAGGAGAGGAGGGACUUGAUUAUGGUGGUAUUGCAAGAGAGUGGUUCUUCCAGCUCUCCCACGAGGUGCUCAACCCUAUGUACUGCCUAUUUGAAUACGCCAACAAAAACAAUUACUCGCUCCAGAUCAACCCAGCCUCUGAAGUCAACCCUGAUCAUUUAACAUAUUUCAAAUUUAUUGGAAGGUUUAUAGCUAUGGCCCUGUAUCAUGGAAAGUUCAUUUAUUCUGGUUUUACCAUGCCUUUCUAUAAACGAAUGUUGAACAAGAAACUUACCAUGAAGGACCUGGAGUCCAUUGAUCCAGAGUUCUAUAAUUCACUUGUGUGGAUUAGGGAUAACAACAUUGAGGAGUGCUGCCUUGAGAUGACU